UACGUAGGGUGCAAGCGUUGUCCGGAAUCAUUGGGCGUAAAGCGCGCGUAGGUGGCUUCGUCAGUCCGUUGUGAAAGUCAAAGGCUCAACCUUUGAAUGCCGAUGGAUACUGCGAAGCUAGAGUACGGAAGAGGCGAGUGGAAUUCCUGGUGUAGCGGUGGAAUGCGCAGAUAUCAGGAGGAACACCAAUAGCGAAGGCAGCUCGCUGGGACGUUACUGACACUAAGGCGCGAAAGCGUGGGGAGCGAACAGG
rnacentral:rRNA from 1 species